rnacentral:rRNA from 1 species
GACGAACGCUGGCGGCGUGCUUAACACAUGCAAGUCGAACGGAAAGGCCCUGCUUUUGUGGGGUGCUCGAGUGGCGAACGGGUGAGUAACACGUGAGUAACCUGCCCUUGACUUUGGGAUAACUUCAGGAAACUGGGGCUAAUACCGGAUAGGAGCUCCUGCUGCAUGGUGGGGGUUGGAAAGUUUCGGCGGUUGGGGAUGGACUCGCGGCUUAUCAGCUUGUUGGUGGGGUAGUGGCUUACCAAGGCUUUGACGGGUAGCCGGCCUGAGAGGGUGACCGGCCACAUUGGGACUGAGAGACGGCCCAGACUCCUACGGGAGGCAGCAGUGGGGAAUAUUGCACAAUGGGCGGAAGCCUGAUGCAGCAACGCCGCGUGCGGGAGGACGGCCUUCGGGUUGUAAACCGCUUUCGCCUGUGACGAAGCGUGAGGGACGGGAAUGGGGAAAGAAGCACCGGCUAACUACGU